ACGGAGGGAGCUAGCGUUGUUCGGAAUUACUGGGCGUAAAGAGUACGUAGGCGGUGAUUCAAGUCAGAGGUGAAAGCCUGGAGCUCAACUCCAGAACUGCCUUUGAAACUAGAUCGCUAGAAUUGUGGAGAGGUUAGUGGAAUUCCGAGUGUAGAGGUGAAAUUCGUAGAUAUUCGGAAGAACACCAGUGGCGAAGGCGACUAACUGGACACAUAUUGACGCUGAGGUACGAAAGCGUGGGGAGCAAACAGGAUUAGAUACCCUGGUAGUCCACGCCGUAAACGAUGAUAACUAGCUGUUCGGGGUCUACGAUCCUGAGUGGCGCAGCUAACGCAUUAAGUUAUCCGCCUGGGGAGUACGGUCGCAAGAUUA
rnacentral:rRNA from 1 species